rnacentral:pre_miRNA from 1 species
AAUCGCAGUAUAUUUAUAGCAGCUGUUGACGAAGUAUCAAAAUAGUUAAAUGAUGAUAUAAAUUAUUUGGUCCCCGUCAACCAGCUGUUAUAAUGUACAUUAACAUCC